AUUGAACGCUGGCGGAAUGCUUUACACAUGCAAGUCGAACGGCAGCACGGGGGCAACCCUGGUGGCGAGUGGCGAACGGGUGAGUAAUACAUCGGAACGUGCCCAAUCGUGGGGGAUAACGUAGCGAAAGCUACGCUAAUACCGCAUACGAUCUACGGAUGAAAGCGGGGGAUCGCAAGACCUCGCGCGAAUGGAGCGGCCGAUGGCAGAUUAGGUAGUUGGUGGGGUAAAGGCUCACCAAGCCGACGAUCUGUAGCUGGUCUGAGAGGACGACCAGCCACACUGGGACUGAGACACGGCCCAGACUCCUACGGGAGGCAGCAGUGGGGAAUUUUGGACAAUGGGCGCAAGCCUGAUCCAGCCAUUCCGCGUGCAGGAUGAAGGCCU
rnacentral:rRNA from 1 species